rnacentral:rRNA from 1 species
UCAACAGUGCGUGAAAUUGAUCAAAGGAAAACCGGGUAACGCUGAGGUGGAGUUUGGAUAUUUGCAUUGAGUGGCUACUCUGAGGGGAUGUGGUGUCUUUAUCGCACAGUCUUCGAGGAGGUUUUUCCACUCUGUGUUAUUAUUCAUUCUCGACACCACGAUCAGUAGUUAGGGUGGUCUGGCAUUGGGAGGAAGGUAGCUUGCUUUAGUGAGUGUUAUAGCCUCUCUUUCCAGCACUACUUGAGUACUGUUUUGCGAUGCAAGCCUUUUCGGCGCACAAGGUAGCCUGUGGUGUGAGGUAGCUUUGACAACUCUUUAGAUUUGGCUUAGCUUUCUGAGUGCUACUACGUUACCCUCUGUGUGUUGUGUCGAUAAUCCGUGGUGAUAUAGUAGGCAUGUUACCUGACCCGUCUUGAAACACGGACCAAGGAGUUGAACUUGUACGCGAGUCAUGGGGUCUUACGAAACCUAAAGGCGUAUUGAAAGAAAAGGAUUGGCUUUAGUCGAUCUGAGGUAUGAUCCUGGCUCUGAUGGUCCCUUAGGAACACAGACUGGGCGCAGUACCGGCUCGUCCCAUGCUUUAUUAAGCGGGGCGACGCAAGAGCGUACAGGUUCAGACCCGAAAGAUGGUGAACUAUGCGUGUGUAGGUCGAAGCCAGAGGAAACUCUGGUGGAAGACCGUAGCGAUUCUGACGUGCAAAUCGAUCGUCAAACAUGCGUAUAGGGGCGAAAGACUAAUCGAACCAUCUAGUAGCUGGUUCCCUCCGAAGUUUCCCUCAGGAUAGCUGGCACUCAGGAAACAAUCAGUUUUAUCCGGUAAAGCGAAUGAUUAGCAGUAUCGGGGAAGAAAUUUUCUCGACUGAUUCUCAAACUUUCAAUGGGUGAGAUGCAUGACUCUCUUUAUUGGAGUUGUGCUAUUGAAUGAGAGUGCCAAGUGGGCCAUUUUUGGUAAGCAGAACUGGCGCUGUGGGAUGAACCAAACGUCUGGUUACGGAGCCAAACAUAUCGCUCAUGAGAGACCACAAAAGGUGUUGGUUGAUUUUGACAGCAGGACGGUGGCCAUGGAAGUCGGAAUCCGCUAAGGAGUGUGUAACAACUCACCUGCCGAAUCAACCAGCCCUGAAAAUGGAUGGCGCUGGAGCGAUGGUCCUAUACCAGACCGUUACUGCGAUUUAAUGUAUGCAGUAACGAGUAGGAGGGCGCCGUGGUGAGCAUUGAAGCUUAGACCGUGAGGUUGAGUGGAGCCGCCACGGGUGCAGAUCUUGGUGGCAGUAGC